rnacentral:SRP_RNA from 1 species
CCGUGCUAGGUGGGGAGUUAGCGAUGCCCUGUUAUCCGCAAUUCGCUUAGCGGAACUGAAUGCCCGUUUAGGCUUUCGUCGUGGAAGGCCGUGCCAGAUAAGGAACGUUGAUGUUAAGGUCUUAUGCAACGUGCACCUGCGAACCGUGUCAGGUUAGGAAUAAAGCAGCACUAAGUAGACCUGUACGUGUGAUGUAAGGUUGCUUUAACGGAGUCACCUGUUUGGUUAACGCUUCGGCGUCGUCUGUCAAGUCGGGAUGCACG